rnacentral:rRNA from 1 species
GACAGAGGGGGCAAGCGUUGCUCGGAAUUACUGGGCGUAAAGGGCGCGUAGGCGGGAUGGCAAGUCGGUCGUGAAAUCCCUCGGCUCAACCGAGGAACGUCGAUCGAUACUGCUGUUCUUGAGGAUUGCAGAGGAGACUGGAAUUCCCGGUGUAGCGGUGAAAUGUGUAGAGAUCGGGAGGAACACCGGUGGCGAAGGCGGGGUCUCUGGGCAAUUCCUGACGCUGAGG